AUUGAACGCUGGCGGCAGGCUUAACACAUGCAAGUCGAGCGGGGUGAUGGUGCUUGCACUAUCACUUAGCGGCGGACGGGUGAGUAAUGCUUAGGAAUCUGCCUAUUAGUGGGGGACAACGUCUCGAAAGGGAUGCUAAUACCGCAUACGUCCUACGGGAGAAAGCAGGGGAUCACUUGUGACCUUGCGCUAAUAGAUGAGCCUAAGUCGGAUUAGCUAGUUGGUGGGGUAAAGGCCUACCAAGGCGACGAUCUGUAGCGGGUCUGAGAGGAUGAUCCGCCACACUGGGACGGAGACACGGCCCAGACUCCUACGGGGGGCAGCAGUGGGGAAUAUUGGACAAUGGGGAGAACCCUGAUCCAGCCAUGCCGCGUGUGUGAAGAAGGCCUUAUGGUUGUAAAGCACUUUAAGCGAGGAGGAGGCUCUUUUGGUUAAUACCCAAGAUGAGUGGACGUUACUCGCAGAAUAAGCACCGGCUAACUCUGUGCCAGCCGCCGCGGUAA
rnacentral:rRNA from 1 species